GGUUCAGUGGUGGAACGGUUACCACACCUGAUAUAUCUAAGAGAGUCCACAAAAAUCCUGUAGAAGAUCCUUGUUCAACUCAAGGCUGGGUCG